CUUGCGCUAGAGCUUUAAAGACCAAGGCACCCGUGCUGAUGGGAAAAAUUACCAGGUUUUCCCAUCAGGUGGAAAUGUAGUUUAGGCUUGGGAAAGUGUGUAUAUAUAUACAUAGGUAUCAAAGAGCCACAGAAAUUAACACCUACGGGAACUUAGUGUACUGAAUAAACCCCCUCCCCCCUUUCUUUUUUAAAAAGCACUUUCAUUAGCUCAGAAGUCAGAAAGUGAAGAUCGGGUUGACUGAUGGUUCUGUUUGUGUGUUGCACACCAGAUGAUGUAGUCCACGUUCUUGUGGUAAGCUUUCAGACUUUUCCUGAGAGACGCUGUCACCCUCUCUGGAUGCUCUGUUGCGCAGAACCAGCACAUCCCCUUCUCAAAGCACUCUCCCCUUGUCUUGACUGGCAAGGGGUGCUCGUGCUACCAGUCCUAGAGAUAAGCAGUCUCUGUAAAGAUCUGUUGCGCGAUAAACUUCUGAGAUGACCUCUUUUUCAGACUUAAUGCAUUGUACUGGAAGCUAAGCUUUUCAACUCCUCUUUGAAAAAACAGAUGCCUAAGACUUGGAAACGCUUUGGCAAGCACUUAGGAGCACGGCUUAAAGCUACGCUAUCAUGUGGGGGGGGGGGGGGGGGAGAAAUAUGGGUCUUCCUCUUUCUUCUGUGGAAGAGAAAGGGGACCUACUGAGGUGAUGCAAUUAGUCUUUUUCCCCUCUAUUUUAUGCUUCUGAAAGAAAACACCAGGUACGUUGCAAGUGAGUACUCACAGCAUCCAACAAAAGAUAAAAACCUUUUCUGGCAAGCAGCCUCAGCUCCUGGAGAUGUCGCUGAGAAUGGGUGUCAGCCGCGAGCCAGAGCGGCGCUGCCAAGGAAAGGGACUCCCUUCAGUAGCCAAAGUACAAAAGAAAGAAAGGAUAAUAGCGAAGCAGCUUGCCAAAGAAAGAGUCGCUGCUUUCAUUACUUCUAGUUCUCCCAAGCGGAAUCAUUUUUUUUAUCCUAACAGAACGCAGCCAAAACGAGCAGAAGAAACUAAUCCAGGCAGUGCAGGAAGGAGGGAUCAGAUGACAAGGGGAUUCCAGUACGUCUGCCCCGGAGGGGAGCAGAAGAGUCCCUGCAGCAGAGCCUGUGCUUCAGUUCCUCCGGAAAGGCUGGACUUGCAGCAUUUGCAGUGUCAUGUUAAAACGUUGCAAGCGUUGCAGUUGACAAAAAAGCAUUGCCCCAAGAGGCAGAGCACCGUCUCCCAGAUAAAAUACAGUAACUCGAUCCAGCAUCCCUGUGGGUAUGCCACAUCAGCAGGCAUGGACGUACUGGGUACUCCCAGGUUAACGUGUUUGUGGAAGGCAACUGAUGUAUAUAGCGAAAAGACCAGAUCAAGGCCUCUAUGUAACUGCGUCCUCUCCCAAUGGCGGAACGUUGUUGCUCUUAGCUUUCAAAGACUCCAAGUCCUCUGGUUUGGCCUCAACCUUCUCUUCAAUGAAUUAACAUCGUUGUUACCCCCGAGCAUGCACCCAGUGCAGCCUCAGCGUUAG
rnacentral:lncRNA from 1 species